GAUGAACGCUAGCGGCAGGCUUAACACAUGCAAGUCGAGGGGGCAGCGCGGGGUUAGCAAUACUCUAGGCGGCGACCGGCGGAAGGGUGCGUAACGCGUGAGCAACUUGCCCGUCACAGGGGGAUAACCGGUGGAAACGCCGACUAACACCCCGUAACACAUCGCGCUCGCAUGGCGGGAUGUUAGAAAACUCCGGUGGUGACGGAGUAGGCUCGCGUGCCAUUUAGCUAGGUCGGCGGGGCAACGGGCCCACCGAGGCGACGAGUGGCUAGGGGGUUCUGACGAGGAA
rnacentral:rRNA from 1 species